rnacentral:lncRNA from 10 species
AAAUCAUCGGCCAUUGGUUAUCAGCUCAACUCUCAACCCAUUUCCUCUCCACUUGAUCUUAGCCAAAAGGCCGAGAAGCGAUUCCCAUUUCCUCUCAUCUUUCCUGGGGGAGGUGGGGGAGGUAUGCUGAAAAUCCCAACCCUUUAAUCCUGUGGUUGCUUGCUGUGGUAACCAGCACCCCAUCUUGUGGUUAUCUAGGGGCUUUCCACAAAUCACCUCAUUAGCAUAAACUCCGGUGUUGUGGAAGGGGCUUGUUAGGAAUAACAGAAGUCACUUCUUUCACCUUUAUUGGCCUGGAGCUGCUCCAGAGCUGUUUCAGGACAAAAGACCAAAUAUUUUAACAAAAGAUAAGCUAUGAGUGAGGAAUUGUGGAAGAAGACCAAAAUAUGUAUUUCUUAUUAUAUCACAACUAUACUUUGGUAUUUCUGUGUUUUUCAUUUUACUUCUUUGAGUUUAGUGAGAUGUCAUGAAUUUUUUUUUUUCAGUCAAGUUUCCUGAUUAUAUUGGUCAGGUUUCUUUUGACUGUAAGUGACAUAAUGCAUUCUAAACUAGCUGAAGCCAGAAGUGGAAUUUGUGGAUCACCAUAUUCUGGCUUACAUAACCAGACCAAGGGAAGGACAUGGGUAUGCUGGCCUCUGGUACAAAUGAAACCAGGACUUUUUUUCCAUCUUUCCCUGUCAUUGGUGCCAUCUUUGUUUCCUUGGGCUACUUUUUGCUGUUCAACAGGAAACAAUGUCCAUCAGUAGCUCCUGGCCUCACAUUUUAUAACUUCAUCAGUAGAGAGCUUCUUCCCUUAAUUCCAAUUUGAAAAUCCUGGGGAAAAACCAAGAUGGGCCUGGCUUGGAAACACCUGCCCACCCCAGCAGCCAGUGGACGACCUCUGCGAUGGGCAACAACUUUCACAGAACAGGAUAGUUGCAAUGAGGGGGAGCGCCCCUCAGAGGAGGUGAGGGUACUGAUCAGAACAAUAGCUGUCCCUGCACUGGGGUUCAGCCAAGGCCCCAAAACGCUUUUUCAGCAUAAGAAUUAAUACUACUUUUAUAUGUAAUGAUAGUUUUUAUUCCUAAUCUUACCCUGA